rnacentral:rRNA from 1 species
GCGCAGCAGUCGCGAAUUUUCUCAAUGGGGGAAACCCUGAAGGAGCGACGCCGCGUGGAGGAUGAAGGCUUUCGGGUUGUAAACUCCUGUCAUUUGGGAACAAGUUGCACACGUUAACUGCGUGGGCAUUGAUAGUACCAGAAGAGGAAGGGACGGCUAACUCUGUGCCAGCAGCCGCGGUAAUACAGAGGUCCCAAGCGUUGUACGGAUUCAUUGGGCGUAAAGGGUGCGUAGGUGGCGCUGUAGGUCGGGUGUGAAAUUUCGAGGCUUAACCUCGAAACUGCAUUCGAUACUGCGGUGCUUGAGGACUGGAGAGGAGACUGGAAUUCAUGGUGUAGCAGUGAAACGCGUAGAGAUCAUGAGGAAGACCAGUGGCGAAGGCGGGUCUCUGGGCAGUUCCUGACACUGAGGCACGAAGGCCAGGGGAGCAAACGGGAUUAGAUACCCGUGUAGU